AUGAUGGCAUUUAUGAAGAACACCACGGUGCUGUGUUGGAUAGCUAUUAUUCUCAUGUCCAUCAAUUCCUUGUCCAGCCAUGCUGCUGCGAGGAGCACACAUACGAUGGACUUUGGACCUAUUCUUGGGUGUGUAAAGACGGAAACAAAAUGUUCGGUCGUUGGGUGCACGAAGAUAUGUUCCGACCUUGGCUGGAAUACCCACAGAUGCUAUUGUGCCGAUGCUGGCAGUUGCUGCCACUAUGCGGAUGGAAGGCCAUUAAAUUGA
rnacentral:rRNA from 1 species